rnacentral:lncRNA from 1 species
CAUUCGAAACUCAAACUCGAAAGUAGGGAGACUGGUGUUGGGUAUAAAAUACCUCCCAGCCAAAGUUCGUGACAGGAGUGACCCUCCAGGGAUUCUACCGACGUCCGACCUUCGACGACAUCUUUCUGAACCUCUCCGACGGUCGAGCCUCCUCAACAUUCCCAAGCUCUGUCGACGGAUAAACCCCCACCAGUGUAGGUCGGAUUCUCCACGACGGGUGAACUCCACCCAAGUUUCGACGGUGGUCGACCACCUGCUAGACCUCAUCCGGACUCCUACGGGAGCCGGGCUUCAUCCCUGACUUCCACUGAAGGAAGACUUCAUCCAGACUCCUACGGGAGCCGGACUCCAUCCCCAACUCCAACUGCAGGU